rnacentral:rRNA from 1 species
GGGCCCGCACAAGCAGUGGAGCAUGUGGUUUAAUUCGAUGCAACGCGAAGAACCUUACCAGGCCUUGACAUCCAUAGAACUUUCCAGAGAUGGAUUGGUGCCUUCGGGAACUCUGAGACAGGUGCUGCAUGGCUGUCGUCAGCUCGUGUUGUGAAAUGUUGGGUUAAGUCCCGCAACGAGCGCAACCCUUAUCCUUGUUUGCCAGCGAGUAAUGUCGGGAACUCCAGGGAGACUGCCGGUGAUAAACCGGAGGAAGGUGGGGACGACGUCAAGUCAUCAUGGCCCUUACGAGUAGGGCUACACACGUGCUACAAUGGCGCAUACAGAGGGCGGCCAACUUGCGAGAGUGAGCGAAUCCAAAAAGUGCGUCGUAGUCCGGAUCGGAGUCUGCAACUCGACUCCGUGAAGUCGGAAUCGCUAGUAAUCG